rnacentral:rRNA from 1 species
GUCCUUUUGUUUAAUAAUUUAAGGUCUGGCCUGCCCACUGAAAUUUAAAUGGCCGCAGUAUUUUGACUGUGCAAAGGUAGCAUAAUCAUUAGUUUUUUAAUUAAAAGCUUGUAUGAAGGGUUGGACGAAGUAAAAUCUGUCUCUAUUUAAUUUAUAUUAAAAUUUAAUUUUUAAGUUAAAAAGCUUAAAUAUUAUUAAAAGACGAGAAGACCCUAUAGAUCUUUAUAUUUUAUUUAUUAAUUUUAAUAUAGAAAUUUUUAUUUUUUAAUAUUAAAAAUAUUUUAUUGGGGUAAUAAAGAGAUUAAAUAAAUUCUUUUUUGAAUUUAACAUUAAUUUAUGAUUGUAAGAUCCAAUUUUUUUGAUUAUAAGAUUAAGUUACCUUAGGGAUAACAGCGUAAUUUUUUUUGAGAGUUCAUAUCGAUAAAAAAGUUUGCGACCUCGAUGUUGGAUUAAAAAUUAUCUUAGGUGCAGAAGUUUAAGAUUUUGGUCUGUUCGACCAUUAAAUUUUUACA